AUCCGCGAGCUUUAUUAUGACAUCUUGAACUGCAAGGGCACUCGUGGUUCGUAUGAGGAGGAAGGCAACGAGGACCUUGAAAGAAAGCAUUCCAAGAAGCUUGACAAGAAGCGGGCAAA
rnacentral:ribozyme from 1 species